GACGAACCGUGCGAACGUUAUUCGGAAUCAUUGGGCUUAAAGGGCGCGUAGGCGGCUCGGAAAGUCGGUCGUGAAAUGCCGGGGCUCAACCCCGGGACUGCGUCCGAUACUCCCGAGCUGGAGGCAGGUAGGGGAGAUCGGAAUUCCUGGUGUAGCGGUGAAAUGCGCAGAUAUCAGGAGGAACACCGGUGGCGAAGGCGGAUCUCUGGGCCUUGCCUGACGCUGAGGCGCGAAAGCGUGGGGAGCGAUCCGG
rnacentral:rRNA from 1 species